GUAGUCCACGCCCUAAACGAUGUCAACUAGUUGUUGGUAGAGUAAAAUCUAUGAGUAACGCAGCUAACGCGUGAAGUUGACCGCCUGGGGAGUACGAUCGCAAGAUUAAAACUCAAAUGAAUUGACGGGGGCCCGCACAAGCGGUGGAUUAUGUGGAUUAAUUCGAUGCAACGCGAAAAACCUUACCUGGCCUUGACAUGUACGGAAUCCUGAAGAGAUUUGGGAGUGCUCGAAAGAGAGCCGUAACACAGGUGCUGCAUGGCUGUCGUCAGCUCGUGUCGUGAGAUGUUGGGUUAAGUCCCGCAACGAGCGCAACCCUUGCCAAUAAUUGCCAUCAUUUAGUUGGGCACUUUAUUGGGACUGCCGAUGACAAAUCGGA
rnacentral:rRNA from 1 species